rnacentral:rRNA from 1 species
GUGGGGAAUCUUCCGCAAUGGACGAAAGUCUGACGGAGCAACGCCGCGUGAAGGAAGAAGGCUUUCGGGUUGUAAACUUCUUUUACCAGGGACGAAACAAAUGACGGUACCUGGUGAAUAAGCCACGGCUAACUACGUGCCAGCAGCCGCGGUAAUACGUAGGUGGCGAGCGUUAUCCGGAUUUAUUGGGUGUAAAGGGCGUGUAGGCGGGACAGCAAGUCAGAUGUGAAAACCAGAGGCUGAAACUCUGGCAUAGAUUUGAAACUGUUAUUCUUGAGUGUCGGAGAGGUAAUCGGAAUUCCGUGUGUAUCGGUGAAAUGCGUAGAUAUACGGAGGAACACCAGUGGCGAAGGCGGAUUACUGGACGAUAACUGACGCUGAGGCGCGAAAGCGUGGGGAGCAAACAGGAUUAGAUACCCUGGUAGUCC